AGUUCGAUUCUGGCUCAGAUUGAACGCUGGAUGCUUGCAUGCAGUCGACGGCAGCACGGACUUCGGUCUGGUGGCGAGUGAACGUUUGGUAAUGCGUAUCGGAACGUGCCUAGUAGCGGGGGAUAACUACGCGAAAGCGUAGCUAAUACCGCAUACGCCCUUCGGGGAAAGCGGGGGACCUUCGGGCCUCACACUAAUGAAACGGCCGAUAUCAGGAUUCGCUAGUUGGUGGGGUAACGGCUGCCGACGAUCCGUAGCUGGUUUGAGAGGACGACCAGCCACACUGGGACUGAGACACGGCCCAGACUCUACGGAGGCAGCAGUGGGAAUUUUGGAUGGCUGGAAACCUGGUGCGGCCAUCCGGUAUUGCGAUGAGGCCUUCAGGGUUAGCAACACUUUGGCGGGGAAGAAACGGCACGGGAUAAUACCCCGUGCAACUGACAGUACCUGCAAGGCCAGCACCGGCCAACUACGCAUUGCCAGCAGCCGCGGUGGCCACGUGGGGUGCAAGCGAUUGAUGGAUUACUGGGCGUAAAGCGUGCGCAGGCGGUUGAAGAAAGAUGUAGGGAUCCCAGAGCUUAACUUUGGGGCAUUUUUAACUACCGAGCUAGAGUGUGUCAGAGGGAGGUGGAAUUCCGCGUGUAGCAGAGUGAAAUGCGUAGAUAUGCGGAGGAACACCGAUGGCAAGACAACCUCCUGGGAUGCUGACGCUCGCGGCGUGGGGGAGCAAACGGGAUUAGAUACCUGGUAGUCCACGCCCUAGAGCUUGAUGUCAACUAGCUGUUGGGGCCUUCGGGCCUUCAUGGUAGCAACUACUUGCGUGAAGUUGACCGCCUGGGAGAAUUACUGGUCGCGAAGAUUCAAAACUCAAAGGAAUUGACGGGGACCCACUUUCAAGGCGGUGGAUGAUGCUUAGGAUUCAUUUCAUUCUGUACGAAAAGCCUUACCUACCCUUGACAUGUCUGGAAUCGAGUUUGGGAGUGCUCGAAGACCGGAACACAGGUGCUGCAUGGCUGUCGUCGGCUCGGUGUCGUGAGGAUAUAUUUGGGUUAAGUCCGCAGCUUGAAGCGCAACCCUUGUCAUUAGUUUGCUGCGAAAGACUUAUCUAAUGAGACUGCCGGUGAGCAAACCGGAGGAAGGUGAGGAUGACGUCAAGUCCUCAUGGCCCUUAUGGGUAGGGCUUCACACGUCAUACAAUGGUCGGGACGAAGAGGUCGUAACCCGGGGGAGCCAAUCCCAGAAACCCGAUCUGUGGUCGGACCUGCCAGUCUGCAAUAUGGCCGUGAAGUCGGAAUCGCUAGUAGUCGCGGAUCCAGCAUGUCGCGGUGAAUACGUUCCGGGUCUUGCCACACCGCCCGUCACACCAUGGGAGUGGGUUUUACAGAAGUAGUUAGCCUAACCGUAAGGGAGGGCGAUUACCACAGUAGGAUUCAUGGCCUGGGGUGAAGUCGUAACAAGAUAAAG
rnacentral:rRNA from 1 species